AUACGGAGGGUGCAAGCGUUAAUCGGAAUUACUGGGCGUAAAGCGCGCGUAGGUGGCCUGUUAAGUCAGAUGUGAAAGCCCCGAGCUCAACUUGGGAACGGCAUCUGAUACUGGCAAGCUAGAGUAUGAUAGAGGAAAGUGGAAUUCCACAUGUAGCGGUGAAAUGCGUAGAUAUGUGGAGGAACAUCAGUGGCGAAGGCGACUUUCUGGAUCAAUACUGACACUGAGGUGCGAAAGCGUGGGUAGCAAACGGGAUUAGAAACCCCAGUAGUCC
rnacentral:rRNA from 1 species